GACCUCCCCGGUGCUUACCAUAGGCUAUGUUCUUACGCUGACUGUGUAGAAGGAGGAGUCACAGCAAACCUACUCUAUAUAUACAUCAGCCCAAGCCCUGUGCCUAGUCUGUGAAUCGGGGGGGUGG
rnacentral:snoRNA from 1 species